rnacentral:rRNA from 1 species
GAUUAACGCUGGCGGCAUGCCUAAGACAUGCAAGUUGAACGGGACGCACCAUUGAUCUCUGAAUGAAGUUGAAGAGCUUGCUCUGAUAUGGAAUGACGAAGAAUUUGGAUUCUGCGUUCAGUAGCGAACGGGUGAGUAACACGUGGGUUACCUGCCUCCAAGAUGGGGAUAACAGUUAGAAAUGACUGCUAAUACCGAAUGUGCUAGAAAUAGUAAAGGAGCUUUCAAGCUUCACUUGGAGAUGGGCCUGCGGCGUAUUAGUUAGUUGGUGGGGUAAUGGCCUACCAAGACGACGAUGCGUAGCCGGACUGAGAGGUUGAACGGCCACACUGGGACUGAGACACGGCCCAGACUCCUACGGGAGACAGCAGUUAGGAAUAUUCGGCAAUGGGGGAAACCCUGACCGAGCAAUGCCGCGUGUGAGAUGAAGGUCCUUUGGAUCGUAAAUCACUUUUAUUUGGGAAGAAUUGUAGGUAUAGGAAAUGAUACUUA